GACAGAGGGUGCAAACGUUGUUCGGAAUUACUGGGCGUAAAGCGCGUGUAGGCGGCUUUGCAAGUCGGGUGUGAAAGCCCUCAGCUCAACUGAGGAAGUGCGCCCGAAACUGCAGAGCUUGAGUGCCGGAGAGGGUGGCGGAAUUCCCCAAGUAGAGGUGAAAUUCGUAGAUAUGGGGAGGAACACCGGUGGCGAAGGCGGCCGACCUGGGCGGUAACUGACGCUGAGACGCGAAAGCGUGGGGAGCAAACAGG
rnacentral:rRNA from 1 species